AUGAACGCUAGCUACAGGCUUAACACAUGCAAGUCGAGGGGAAACGACAUCGAAAGCUUGCUUUUGAUGGGUGUCGACCGGCGCACGGGUGAGUAACGCGUAUCCAACCUGCCCACCACUUGGGGAUAACCUUGCGAAAGUAAGACUAAUACCCAAUGAUAUCUCUAGAAGACAUCUGAAAGAGAUUAAAGAUUUAUCGGUGAUGGAUGGGGAUGCGUCUGAUUAGCUUGUUGGCGGGGUAACGGCCCACCAAGGCAACGAUCAGUAGGGGUUCUGAGAGGAAGGUCCCCCACAUUGGAACUGAGACACGGUCCAAACUCCUACGGGAGGCAGCAGUGAGGAAUAUUGGUCAAUGGACGAGAGUCUGAACCAGCCAAGUAGCGUGCAGGAAGACGGCCCUAUGGGUUGUAAACUGCUUUUAUAAGGGAAUAAAGUUAGUCUCGUGAGACUUUUUGCAUGUACCUUAUGAAUAAGGACCGGCUAAUUCCGUGCCAGCAGCCGCGGUAAUACGGAAGGUCCGGGCGUUAUCCGGAUUUAUUGGGUUUAAAGGGAGCGUAGGCCGGAGAUUAAGCGUGUUGUGAAAUGUAGACGCUCAACGUCUGCACUGCAGCGCGAACUGGUUUCCUUGAGUACGCACAAAGUGGGCGGAAUUCGUGGUGUAGCGGUGAAAUGCUUAGAUAUCACGAAGAACUCCGAUUGCGAAGGCAGCUCACUGGAGCGCAACUGACGCUGAAGCUCGAAAGUGCGGGUAUCGAACAGGAUUAGAUACCCUGGUAGUCCGCACGGUAAACGAUGGAUGCCCGCUGUUGGUCUGAAUAGGUCAGCGGCCAAGCGAAAGCAUUAAGCAUCCCACCUGGGGAGUACGCCGGCAACGGUGAAACUCAAAGGAAUUGACGGGGGCCCGCACAAGCGGAGGAACAUGUGGUUUAAUUCGAUGAUACGCGAGGAACCUUACCCGGGCUCAAACGCAGGGGGAAUGCCGGUGAAAGUCGGCAGCUAGCAAUAGUCACCUGCGAGGUGCUGCAUGGUUGUCGUCAGCUCGUGUCGUGAGAUGUUGGGUUAAGUCCCGCAACGAGCGCAACCCCUGUCGUUAGUUGCCAGCAUUCAGUUGGGGACUCUAACGAGACUGCCAGUGACAAACUGGAGGAAGGUGGGGAUGACGUCAAAUCAGCACGGCCCUUACGUCCGGGGCUACACACGUGUUACAAUGGCAGGUACAGAGAGACGGUCCCUUGCAAAACGGAUCAAAUCCUUAAAGCCUGUCUCAGUUCGGACUGGGGUCUGCAACCCGACCCCACGAAGCUGGAUUCGCUAGUAAUCGCGCAUCAGCCAUGGCGCGGUGAAUACGUUCCCGGGCCUUGUACACACCGCCCGUCAAGCCAUGAAAGCCGGGGGCGCCUAAAGUCCGUGACCGUAAGGAGCGGCCUAGGGCGAAACUGGUAAUUGGGGCU
rnacentral:rRNA from 1 species